GUGCAGAUAUACAUGAAUGACAUACACACAUGAAUGACAAAGAAGAAUACCCUUCGCCUCAUUGAUAUUGUCCCUCCACAUGAUACACGUUUAUUUAUUUAUACUUCUCUCUCAUUUCACCCUUGUGUGUGUGUGUUUUUUUUUUUCUUUUCUUUACUCUUUUCUU
rnacentral:ribozyme from 13 species